rnacentral:tRNA from 1 species
GAGGAUUUAGCUUAAUUAAAGUGAUUGAUUUGCGUUCAGUUGAUGUAAGAUAUAGUCUUGCAAUCCUUA